rnacentral:rRNA from 1 species
ACAAAUUUAAUUAUUUUGUUUAUAGAUUUUAUUUAUUUUGGAAUAAGAAUAUUAUUUUUUAUUACUUGAUUGGAACAAAUUUUUUAUAUGAUAGUUAAUUAGUACUGUGAAGGAACUUAUUUGAGUUUUAGAAAGAAUAAUUUAUUUUUUGUACCUUGUGUAUCAGGGUUGAUUAAUUUUUAAUUAAAAAUUUAGUUUUCUCGAAUUCAGAAGAGUUACUUGUGUUUGGAUUUUAUUGUAAAAUAAAUAUUUAGAAAAUAUGAGUUGAAAUGAAAUGUUAUUCGUUUCUGAAUAUAUCUAGUUUUUCAAGAAAAAAAUUUAAUUUUUCUAUUUAUAAUUAAUUGUUCAAUUUUUUGAUGUUUGAUAUAAAUAGUUUAUAUUUUCAGGGAUGAGCUUGAAUUUAAAUUUUUAUAAGUAAUUAGAGGUUUUUAAUGAAUUAUGAUUAGAAUUUUUAAUUUUUAGGAGGAUGUUAUAGUCUAUUUAGUUUAGGAUAUUAUUUUUAUUUAUUUUAAUUUUUUUAUUGAAAUUUAUUUUUUAAUUUUAGUUUUUUAUUGAUAAUGAUUGGAUUAGUAUAAUUAAUUGUUUUGUAUUUGAAAUUUGUCAGGUUAGGAAAAGGAAUUCGGCAAAUAUAUUCUUCACCUGUUUAUUAAAAACAUGUCCUUUUGAGAAUAGUUUAAGGUCUGACCUGCCCGCUGAGUAGUUAAAUGGCCGCGGUAUUUUGACCGUGCGAAGGUAGCAUAAUAAUUAGUUUUUUAAUUGGAAGCUGGAAUGAAUGGUCGAAUGAGAGAAUAACUGUCUCUUUUUAAAUGGUUAGAAUUUUAUUUUUAAGUAAAAAAGCUUAAAUGUUGUUGAAAGACGAGAAGACCCCGUAGAGUUUUAUAUAAUGUGUAAUUUAAUGCGUUUAGAAUAUUUUCCUAUAAAUUUCAUUUUGUAUUUGGUUGGGGCGAUCAAAAAAUUGAUAUAACUUUUUUGUAAUUUUAACAUUAAUGAAUGAUUACUUGAUCCAUUUAUUUUGAUUAUUAGAUUAAAUUACCUUGGGGAUAACAGCGUAAUUUUUUUUGAGAGUUCUAAUCGAAAAAAGAGUUUGCGACCUCGAUGUUGGAUUAAAAUUAAAUUUUGGUGCAGAAGCUAGAAGAUUGGGUCUGUUCGACCCUUAGAAUUUUACAUGAUCUGAGUUUAAACCGGUGUGAGCCAGGUUGGUUUCUAUCUUUAAUAUUUUAAAAUUUCUUAGUACGAGAGGACCAGGGAUUUAGUAAAUUAUUUUUUUUUGACUAUUAUU